CACAGGAAAAGGCUUUUGGCAGCUCGUCGGGCUCAUAACCCGGAGGUCGUAGGUUCAAGUCCUACUCCUGCUA
rnacentral:tRNA from 1 species